UGUGUAUUUUGGAUAUGUGUAGCUGGCUGGGUUUGGGAUUGUUAUAUGGGAGGAGUUUGGUUUGUCUGGACCGUGGAUUGCGGCCCAUUUUGAUUUGGAACAGUAGGCUCAGAGGAGGAAGAAAGAUAAGGAGAGUUAGGGUGAGAAGACUAUAUCUGAUUUGAAGAUGACGACGACGAGUUUCACGUAGUUGUCGGAGUAGAUAACUGGUGAGGAUCAGAAGACGAGGGUUGAUGCGGCACAUAUAUUGCUUGUGGCAUCUGGAAGAAUGAUUGAGAUGUCAUAGUUUCUUCUGUCGAUCUGUCCGAUGUUGUCGCAGCAUUCUUUAUCUCAAAUGGAAAAUUGUUCUCGGCGAGUUGAACAUGACGAG
rnacentral:lncRNA from 1 species